GGUGACUAUGGUCACUAAAAGAAAGACACAGAAAAAAGCACUCCCUAGUUUCCUUCUAAGAGAGUAGCUGACAGUUUCAGCUCCAGGAGGGACACUGUGCUCCUAAUACAGCUGACACAUGGGCUAAAGUACCAGUUCCCUCCCCCCUCCCCACUAUGGCCUUCAUCCAGCAGCUGGUGGAAGUAGAAGCAGACACCCACAGCUAAACCUUGAACUGAACUGAAAUCCAGAUGCAGAGGAGGAGGACUGAUGAACAAAGGGGUCCAUACCAGGCUGGUGAAACCCACAGAAACAGCUGACCUGAACAAGGGAAAACUCUUGGUCCCCAGACUGAUAGCCUGGAAAUCAGCAUGGGACUGAUCCAGACCCCCUGAAUGUGGGUGUCAGUGAGGAGACCUUGGAAAUCUAUGGGGCCUCUUGUAGUGGAUCAGUACUUAUUGCUACCAUAGGAAUGGACUUUAGGAGCCCAUCCCACAUGGAGGGAUACUCCCUGAGCCUAGACACAAGGGGAUUGGCCUAGGCCCUAUCCCAAAGAAUAUGACAGACUUUGAAGACACCCUCUGGAAGGUCUCACCCUUCCUGGGGAGCAGAAAGGGUAUGGGAUGGGUAGGGUGUUAAUUGG
rnacentral:lncRNA from 1 species